UCGGGAUAGCUCAGUUGGUAGAGCAGAGGACUGAAAAUCCUCGUGUCCCCGGUUCAAUAUA
rnacentral:tRNA from 1 species